rnacentral:rRNA from 1 species
GAUGAACGUUGGCGGCGUGCCUAAUACAUGCAAGUCGAACGAAGACUGUAGUAAUACUGUCUUAGUGGCGAACGGGGUGAGUAAACGCGUGGGUGACCUGCCCCCGAAGUGUGGGAUAACAGUCCGAAAGGAUUGCUAAUACUGCAUAAUAUCCAAGAGAUUAGAUGCUUUUGGAUUAAAGGAGUAAUUCGCUUCGGGAGGGGCCCGCGUCCCAUCAGCUAGUUGGUAAGGUAAUGGCUUACCAAGGCGAUGACGGGUAGGGACCUGAGAGGGUGGCCCCCCACAAUGGAACUGAAACACGGUCCAUACACCUACGGGUGGCAGCAGUAGGGAAUAUUAGUAAUGGGCGAAAGCCUGAACUAGCAACGCCGCGUGUGCGAAGAAGGCCUUCGGGUCGUAAAGCACUUUUUGAGAGGAUGAGGAAGGACGGUACUCUCAGAAUAAGUCUCGGCUAACUACGUG